CACGUGUCAAGCUGUGGUUGAUUCAAUUCCCGCCCAAAAAUAUCACCUCAAUGUUACAGUGUCAAACCCGUAAUUAAUACCAAUUCUCUCUCCACCGUUUUUUAUUCUCAUUCUUUCUUUUUUUAUUUCCUACCACCGUUCUCUCUACUCCACUCUCUCCACCCUUUCUCAUUCUCAUUCUCUCUUUCAUUUUCUUUUUUUUUUUCCUACCAUCGUUCGAAGACGAUGUCUUGGUGCUGUUGUUCUCCAAAUGCUGGACGAAAAUGACGGAGAUGCCGAACGAAAAACUCAAAGGUUAUGCUUCGUUUUCCCUCUCUAUGUGUUUUUUUGUCGAUUUUUUUCAUAGCAUGUUCAUUGUUUCUUUUAAAGCUAUUAUUUUUAUCUAAAAAAUUUUCGAUUUUUAUCUCCAAACUCCAUGAAUGUGCUUCGUUUUCCCUCUCCAUGUGUUUUUUUUUUUAUUUUUUUCACUGCAUGUUCGUUAUUUCUUCUAAAGCUAUCAUUUUUAUCGCAAAAAGCUUCGAUUUUUAUCUCCAAACUCCAUGAUUGUGUUUCGUUUUCCCUCUCCAUGUGCUUUUUAUUUUUAUUUUUUUCACUGCAUGUUCGUUGUUUCUUCUAAAGUUACAAUUUUUAUCCGAAAAAUGAUUUAUGGGUUCUUUUCUCUCCUAUCUUUCUACGUUUUCUUUUUCAUUUGAUUUAUUUGACCGUGACUGACUAUUGUUCUUUCUUUGCAACACAAAAGCUUCAAUUUUUUUGUAUUUUCUGUCUUUGUUUUGUGUUAUAAUGACUUUUCGCAGGACAAAAGGUUAAAUUGUUUGGUUUUCCUGAGCCUUCUCCGACGUACCCAAAGGCUGGAGCUUUUUUGUUGGGUUUGGCAGUUCUUUGAUUGAUUUGGCCAAAAAAUGAUUUAUGGGUUCUUUUCUCUCCUAUCUUUCUACGUUUUCUUUUUUCAUUUGAUUUAUUUGACCGUGGCUGACUAUUGUUCUUCCUUUGCAACACAAAAGCUUCAAUUUUUUUGCGUCUUCUGUCUUUGUUUUGUGUUAUAAUGACUUUUCACAGGACAAAGGGUUAAAUUUUUUGGCAUUCUUGAGCCUUCUUCGACAUAAAUUUGUCACCGAGAGCAAAUAGUGUUCGGCAUUUGAAGGACAUGUUUGUGAUGUAUUUCAUUUCUCCUUUUGAUUUAUGGGUUCUUUCAGUAUAAAAGAUUAAAUUUUUUUUUGUGUUCCUCAGUCUUAUUUGACCGUGGUUAACCCACUCUUUUUUCUUUGCAAGACAAAAGCCAUAGAUCAUAGUAUGUUGGAUAGAUUACAGGGGAAAGCUUCAUUUUUUUCUUUACUCAGAUGAACAUAGUUCGAUUGCCGAUAUUCUGCCUUAAUAGCACAAUAUUGAAAAAUAUGAAUAUUUGUGUUGCAAUCACUACCUAUUUUUAUCUUUUUUUGUGUUGCAUGUUUGAGUUCCUUUCUUUAUCAGGUUCAUUUUUGUAUUACUUGAAAAAAAUGACGUUUAUUACUAUGAUUAACUUUGAGGUUCAUGAGUGAUCUUCAGUCUUCUCUAAUGUUCCCGUUCUUAUUAUGGCAACGUAUUGUACAAAAUCCCUAUGUAGAUAUUCUUGGCAUUUGUACUUAUACCGGUUAAAAAUAAAAUAAAAAUUACUUUUAAUGUUUUUGCAUUUUGUU